GCCUGGGUGGCUCAGUUGGUUGAGCAUCUGACUUCAGUUCAGGUCAUGAUCUCGCUGUCUGUGAGUUCAGGCCUCGCGUCGGGCU
rnacentral:tRNA from 1 species